UACAGAGGUGGCAAGCGUUGUUCGGAAUUACUGGGCGUAAAGGGCGAGUAGGUGGCCAUCUAAGUCAGACGUGAAAUCCCCCGGCUUAACCUGGGAACUGCGUCUGAUACUGGACGGCUAGAGUAUGGGAGAGGGAUGUAGAAUUCCAGGUGUAGCGGUGAAAUGCGUAGAUAUCAGGAGGAACACCAGUGGCGAAGGCGGGACUCUGGGCCGAUACUGACGCUGAGGAGCGAAAGCGUGGGGAGCGAACAGG
rnacentral:rRNA from 1 species